rnacentral:misc_RNA from 1 species
AAGUCGUAACAAGGUUUCCGUAGGUGAACCUGCGGAAGGAUCAUUACAGAGUUCAUGCCUUUGCAGGUAGAUCUCCCACCCUUGAAUACAUACCUUUGUUGCUUUGGCGGGCCACGUCCGCGUGUCGGCUUCGGCUGGCUGCGCCCGCCAGAGGACCCAAACUCGUUUUGUUUAGUGAUGUCUGAGUACUAUAUAAUAGUUAAAACUUUCAACAACGGAUCUCUUGGUUCUG